rnacentral:rRNA from 1 species
AGUGAACGCUGGCGGUAGGCCUAACACAUGCAAGUCGAACGGCAGCACAGUAAGAUCUUGCUCUUACGGGUGGCGAGUGGCGGACGGGUGAGGAAUACAUCGGAAUCUACUUUUUCGUGGGGGAUAACGUAGGGAAACUUACGCUAAUACCGCAUACGACCUACGGGUGAAAGCAGUGGAUCUUCGGACCUUGCGCGAUUGAAUGAGCCGAUGUCGGAUUAGCUAGUUGGCGGGGUAAAGGCCCACCAAGGCGACGAUCCGUAGCUGGUCUGAGAGGAUGAUCAGCCACACUGGAACUGAGACACGGUCCAGACUCCUACGGGAGGCAGCAGUAGGGAAUCUUCGGCAAUGGGCGCAAGCCUGACCCAGCCAUGCCGCGUGGGUGAAGAAGGCCUUCGGGUUGUAAAGCCCUUUUAUUGGGAAAGAACAAAAGUGGGUUAAUCCCUCGCUGUCCUGACGGUACCCAAACAAUAAGCCACGGCUAACUUCGUG